rnacentral:rRNA from 1 species
AAUGAACGUUGGCGGCGUGGAUUAGGCAUGCAAGUCGUACGAGAAUCGUAGCAAUACGAGGAAAGUGGCGGAAGGGAGAGGAUUACGUGGGAAUCUACCCUCAGAACUGGGAUAGCGGCGGGAAACUGCCGGUCAUACCAGAUAAUGUCUGUGGACCAAAGGUGUGAUUCCGUCUGGGGAUGGGCCCACGUCCUAUGAGCUAGUGGGCAGGGUAAUGGCCUACCAAGGCAAUGAUGGGUAGCGGGUGUGAGAGCAUGACCCUGCCUCACUGGGACUGAGAACUGCCCAGACACCUACAGGUGGCUGCAGUCGAGAAUCUUCGGCAAUGAGCGCAAGCUUGAACGAGCGACGCCGCGUGCGGGAUGAAGGCCUUCGGGUUGUAAACCGCUGUCGUAGGGGAGCAAGAGAUGAGGGUACUACCUCUGAUUUGGGCGUUCCUAGGAGGAAGGACGGGCUAAGUUCGUGCCAGCAGCCGCCGUAACAC